rnacentral:tRNA from 1 species
GCAGUGGUGGUUCAGUGGUAGAAUUUUCCCUUCCACGUGGGAGACCUGGGUUCAAUUCCUGACCAAUGCA